GUGAUAUAGGUGGAGGGCUGGAGGUAGUUUGCUUUGCUCUUGCUCCACUUGUACAAGAUGUUCCCAGAAACAUCAUAAAAUAUGAAGUCAGCUUGGUCCUGGUUUAUCUGGAGGGACAUGAACCCUUGUCCAUCGUAAAAGAACUGGAGCUUAUCAGAAUUUGGCUGCAAGACUCCUCUCCAUGCUUUUGAACCACCUCCACUUGUGAAGUAUUGGAUAGGACUGUAACAAUAGGAGUGCAUGCAUUCAGGCAGUGGUCGUGCCCAUUGAUGUAGAAGUCGAUGCCAUUGACCUGAAAUUCCAUGAAACAGUGAUAAGGAAGUACUCUUUUUGUGGAUCCUUCAGAACUUAAUAUCGAGGCAACUUCUGUAUAACCUUCAGAACUGGAAGUAGAAGUUGCAGAAGCUCCUUGGUGUCACCAUGGUCACUGACGCUCCUAAUGGUAUGAUGCCCAACAGCAAUCUUCCACUUCGCUGUUGAUUUCUUCAUUGCCUCAUCCAUAUCCUAGAUAGUAGACCCCAUAAAAUAAAAUAUUAAAACAAUUUUGCUCAGCAACCUAGGAAUAGCUUUUUUUUGUUCUUAAGCAUUGAUGACUGUUCCAUUCCAAAUGCGCACCUUAAGUAGAUUAGUUAUGUAUUUUUGUCGAGGUGCCACUCCUCUCCAGUCAUAAUGAUGGUCUUUAGGGCGAGUCCAAUAUUUCAGCUGAAAUGGAGUUGUG